AACGAACGCUGGCGGCAUGCCUAACACAUGCAAGUCGAACGAGACCUUCGGGUCUAGUGGCGCACGGGUGCGUAACGCGUGGGAACCUGCCCUUAGGUUCGGAAUAACUCCCCGAAAGGGGUGCUAAUACCGGAUAAUGUCUUCGGACCAAAGAUUUAUCGCCUUUGGAUGGGCCCGCGUUGGAUUAGCUAGUUGGUAGGGUAAAAGCCUACCAAGGCGACGAUCCAUAGCUGGUCUGAGAGGAUGAUCAGCCACACUGGGACUGAGACACGGCCCAGACACGUCUGGGAGGGAGCAGUGGGGGAAGGUGGAAAGUGGGUGGAGUGCUGAACCAGUAAUGCCGCGUGAGUGAUGAAGGCCUGAGGGUUGUAAAGCUCUUUUACCCGCGAUGAGAAGGACAGUACCGGAAGAAUAGAGGAAGGCUCACUCAGUG
rnacentral:rRNA from 1 species